rnacentral:rRNA from 1 species
UACGUAGGGGGGCUAGCGUUUGUCCGGAAUCAUUGGGCGUAAAGAGCGCGUAGGCGGCUGGAAUAGUCCGGUGUGAAAUCCACAGGCUUAACCUGUGAAUGCCGCUGGAAACUGUCUGGCUAGAGUCCGGAAGGGGCGAGUGGAAUUCCUGGUGUAGCGGUGAAAUGCGCAGAUAUCAGGAGGAACACCAAUGGCGAAGGCAGCUCGCUGGGACGGUACUGACGCUGAUGCGCGAAAGCUAGGGGAGCAAACGGG